rnacentral:rRNA from 1 species
AGAGUUUGAUCCUGGCUCAGGAUGAACGCUAGCGGCAGGCUUAACACAUGCAAGUCGAGGGGCAGCGUGGAGUAGCAAUACUCUGACGGCGACCGGCGGAAGGGUGCGUAACACGUGAGCGACUUGCCCGAUACAGGGAGAUAACCGGUGGAAACGCCGACUAAUAUCCCAUACGACUUGAGGCUGCAUGGCCUUGAGUUGAAAGGUUCGCCGGUAUCGGAUAGGCUCGCGGGACAUUAGCUUGAUGGCGGGGCAACGGCCCACCAUGGCGACGAUGUCUAGGGGUUCUGAGAGGAAGACCCCCCACACUGGGACUGAGACACGGCCCAGACUCCUACGGGAGGCAGCAGUGAGGAAUAUUGGUCAAUGGGCGGAAGCCUGAACCAGCCAUGCCGCGUGAAGGAAUAAGGCCCUAUGGGUCGUAAACUUCUUUAGACGCAGAGCAAUAAGGGUCUCGCGAGGCCCGAUGAGAGUAUGCGUAGAAUAAGCAUCGGCUAACUCCGUGCCAGCAGCCGCGGUAAUACGGGGGAUGCGAGCGUUAUCCGGAUUUAUUGGGUUUAAAGGGUGCGUAGGCGGCGAAUUAAGUCAGCGGUGAAAGACCGGGGCUCAACCCUGGAAGUGCCGUUGAUACUGAUUGGCUAGAAUACCCUUGCCGUGGGAGGAAUGAGUGGUGUAGCGGUGAAAUGCAUAGAUAUCACUCAGAACACCGAUUGCGAAGGCAUCUCACGAAGGGGCGAUUGACGCUGAGGCACGAAAGCGUGGGGAUCGAACAGGAUUAGAUACCCUGGUAGUCCACGCAGUAAACGAUGAUGGCUAACUGUCGGGCCUUAGGGUUCGGCGGCCAAGCGAAAGCGAUAAGCCAUCCACCUGGGGAGUACGACCGCAAGGUUGAAACUCAAAGGAAUUGACGGGGGCCCGCACAAGCAGUGGA